AUCCUGGCUCAGGAUGAACGCUAGCUACAGGCUUAACACAUGCAAGUCGAGGGGCAGCAUGACGGAAGCUUGCUUUCGUUGAUGGCGACCGGCGCACGGGUGAGUAACGCGUACUCCAACCUGCCCUUGUCCAUCGGAUAACCCGUCGAAAGGCGGACUAACACGAUAUGCAGUUCUCCGCAGGCAUCUAACGAGAACGAAAUGUGAAGGAGAAGGAUGGGGAUGCGUCUGAUUAGCUUGUUGGCGGGGUAACGGCCCACCAAGGCGACGAUGUCUAGGGGUUCUGAGAGGAAGACCCCCCACACUGGGACUGAGACACGGCCCAGACUCCUACGGGAGGCAGCAGUGAGGAAUAUUGGUCAAUGGGCGAGAGCCUGAACCAGCCAAGUAGCGUGCAGGACGACGGCCCUAUGGGUUGUAAACUGCUUUUAUAAGGGAAUAAAGUGAGUCUCGUGAGACUUUUUGCAUGUACCUUAUGAAUAAGGACCGGCUAAUUCCGUG
rnacentral:rRNA from 1 species